rnacentral:rRNA from 1 species
UAGGGAAUAUUGGGCAAUGGGCGAAAGCCUGACCCAGCAACGCCGCGUGCGCGAUGAAGGUCUUCGGAUCGUAAAGCGCUUUUCUGAGAGAUGAGAAAGGACAGUAUCUCAGGAAUAAGUCUCGGCUAACUACGUG